AUGCGCACAGUGACUCGCGCGCGCGCACACACAAAUACAUUCACACACUCAGACAGACUGUCUCACACAGUCACUCUCAUACACACACACACACACACACAAACAAAUAGUCACACACACACACUGACAGUGACUCACUCACUCUGUCACUCUCACUCACACUGUCUCUCACUCACACUGUCUCUCACUCACACUGUCUCUCACUCACACAGUCACUCUCUCUCACACUCACUCUCUCUCUCACACUCACUCUCUCUCUCACACUCACUCUCUCUCACACAGUCACUCUCACACAGUCACUCUCACUCACAGUCACUCUCACUUACACACACAGUCACUCUCACAUACACACUGACACUGACUCAUGCACACACUGACAGUCACACACACACACAAAUACACUCACACACAGUCACUCACAAACACACACAUACACUCGCACACACAUACACUCGCACACAGUCAUACACACGCACACAGUCACACACACAGACAGUCACACACUUAGUCACACACACACACAAACAGGCACACACAAAUACAGUCACACACAAAUACAAUCACACACUUAGUCACAGUCGCACACACGCAGUCGCACACGCACAGACACAAACAGUCGCACACACACAGUCACACAUUUACACACACAGAGUCUCUCUCUCACACACAGUCUGUCUCACACAGUCAGUCACUCACUCAGUCACUCACUCAGUCACUCAGUCACUCACUCAGUCACUCAGUCAGUCACUCAGUCAGUCACUCAGUCAGUCACUCAGUCAGUCACUCAGUCAGUCACUCAGUCAGUCACUCAGUCAGUCACACACACAGCCACACACACACAGCCACACACACACAGCCACACACACACAGCCACACCACACAGCCACACACACAGCCACACACACACAGCCACACACACACAGCCACACACACACACAGCCACACACACACACACAGCCACACACACACACAGCCACACACACCAACACCACCACAGCCACACACACCACCACAGCCACACACCAACACCAGCCACACACACCCACAACACACCCCACACACACACACAGCCACACACACACACACACACAACACACACACACACACCACACAGCCACACACACACACACACACACCACACACACAUCCACACAACACACACCCACCCACACACACCCAGCCACACCACACACACACAUCAAUCACCCAACA
rnacentral:lncRNA from 1 species